rnacentral:rRNA from 1 species
GACAUAGGUGGCGAACGUUAUCCGGAAUUACUGGGCGUAAAGGGCGCGUAGGCUGUGCUGUAAGUCAGGCGUGAAAGCCCCGGGCUCAACCUGGGAAUUGCGCUUGAUACUGCGGCGCUGGAAGGUGGGAGAGGAUGGCGGAAUUCCCAGUGUAGAGGUGAAAUUCGUAGAUAUUGGGAAGAACACCGGUGGCGAAGGCGGCCAUCUGGCCCAUUUUUGACGCUGAGGCGCGAAAGCGUGGGGAGCAAACAGG